GGGUUGUGAGGUUAAGCGACUAAGCGUACACGGUGGAUGCCCUGGCAGUCAGAGGCGAUGAAGGGCGUGCUAAUCUGCGAUAAGCGCCGGUAAGGUGAUAUGAACCGUUAUAACCGGCGAUACCCGAAUGGGGAAACCCAGUGUGACUCGUCACACUAUCAUUAACUGAAUCCAUAGGUUAAUGAGGCGAACCGGGGGAACUGAAACAUCUAAGUACCCCGAGGAAAAGAAAUCAACCGAGAUUCCCCCAGUAGCGGCGAGCGAACGGGGAGGAGCCCAGAGCCUGAAUCAGCAUGUGUGUUAGUGGAAGCGUCUGGAAAGGCGCGCGAUACAGGGUGACAGCCCCGUACACAAAAGCGCAUGUGCUGUGAGCUCGAUGAGUAGGGCGGGACACGUGGUAUCCUGUCUGAAUAUGGGGGGACCAUCCUCCAAGGCUAAAUACUCCUGACUGACCGAUAGUGAACCAGUACCGUGAGGGAAAGGCGAAAAGAACCCCGGCGAGGGGAGUGAAAAAGAACCUGAAACCGUGUACGUACAAGCAGUGGGAGCCCCACCACCAAAGCAUUUGCUGUACCGCGUUGACGGAGCGAAGCGACGUCAAACCGAUAAAACAGCAGUGUAAAGUGAGCCGCAGGGCGCUUUGCGCGACAGCGCAAAGGCAGGCGGUUUCGCGUAGCGAAAGCGAAUGCUUUGGGGUGGGGUGACUGCGUACCUUUUGUAUAAUGGGUCAGCGACUUAUAUUCUGUAGCAAGGUUAACCGAAUAGGGGAGCCGGAGGGAAACCGAGUCUUAAUUGGGCGUUAAGUUGCAGGGUAUAGACCCGAAACCCGGUGAUCUAGCCAUGGGCAGGUUGAAGGUUGGGUAACACUAACUGGAGGACCGAACCGACUAAUGUUGAAAAAUUAGCGGAUGACCUGUGGCUGGGGGUGAAAGGCCAAUCAAACCGGGAGAUAGCUGGUUCUCCCCGAAAGCUAUUUAGGUAGCGCCUCGUGAAUUCAUCUCCGGGGGUAGAGCACUGUUUCGGCUAGGGGGCCAUCCCGGCUUACCAACCCGAUGCAAACUGCGAAUACCGGAGAAUGUUAUCACGGGAGACACACGGCGGGUGCUAACGUCCGUCGUGAAGAGGGAAACAACCCAGACCGCCAGCUAAGGUCCCAAAGUCAUGGUUAAGUGGGAAACGAUGUGGGAAGGCCCAGACAGCCAGGAUGUUGGCUUAGAAGCAGCCAUCAUUUAAAGAAAGCGUAAUAGCUCACUGGUCGAGUCGGCCUGCGCGGAAGAUGUAACGGGGCUAAACCAU
rnacentral:rRNA from 2 species